rnacentral:rRNA from 1 species
GACGAACGCUGGCGGCGUGCUUAACACAUGCAAGUCGAACGGAAAGGCCCUGCUUGCAGGGUACUCGAGUGGCGAACGGGUGAGUAACACGUGGGUGAUCUGCCCUGCACUUCGGGAUAAGCAUGGGAAACUGGGUCUAAUACCGGAUAGGAGCCAUUUUUAGUGUGAUGGUUGGAAAGUUUUUUCGGUGUAGGAUGAGCUCGCGGCCUAUCAGCUUGUUGGUGGGGUAAUGGCCUACCAAGGCGGCGACGGGUAGCCGGCCUGAGAGGGUGGACGGCCACAUUGGGACUGAGAUACGGCCCAGACUCCUACGGGAGGCAGCAGUGGGGAAUAUUGCACAAUGGGCGCAAGCCUGAUGCAGCGACGCCGCGUGGGGGAUGACGGCCUUCGGGUUGGAAACUCCUUUCGCUAGGGACGAAGCUUUUUGUGACGGUACCUAGAGAAGAAGCACCGGCUAACUACGUG